GACGUAGGGCGCGAGCGUUGUCCGGAUUUAUUGGGCGUAAAGGGCGCGUAGGCGGCCUGUUAAGUCGAACGUGAAAUCCCCGAGCUCAACCCGGGAACUGCGUCCGAUACUGGCAGGCUUGAAUCCGGGAGAGGGAUGCGGAAUUCCAGGUGUAGCGGUGAAAUGCGUAGAUAUCUGGAGGAACACCGGUGGCGAAGGCGGCAUCCUGGACCGGCAUUGACGCUGAGGCGCGAAAGCCAGGGGAGCAAACGGG
rnacentral:rRNA from 1 species